CUCAUUAAAUCAGUUAUAGUUUAUUUGAUGGUCUCUUUAGUUUCUUUUACCUACUUGGAUAACCGUGGUAAUUCUAGAUCUAAUACAUGCGCAAGGUCCCAAGCGCGGAGAGUAGGGCUUCACGGCUUUAUUCUUGCAUGCGCAGAGGGAUGUAUUUAUUAGGUUAAACAACCAGCAUUUUCAAUAUCAUCUGGUGAUUCAUAGUAACUCUUUCGGAUCGCAUUCAUG
rnacentral:rRNA from 1 species